GACUGAAACGAUUUCAGUUCUACUCUCAGGGUUCACUGAUCACCAAGUGAAUGCCUUCGACUCUCACCAUCCACUAGUGACACCUAGCAGUAUGUGGUGGCAACCCAACAGAAAGGAAUGUCUGAACCUUUAGGUGCAGUUAGCAUAUGAUAUAGUCCCUCUAUCAUGGAUUCCGACAUGACGGAGGUUAUGGAUAUCUCGUCAAAUUCCAUCAUCCGUCAUAUGUCAAAUUUAUACGACUUCCAGUUUGAGAUAUAGAAAACUCUUUUUCCAAAAUAUCUAGCCAGAAAUUUAUCGAACUCAGUCUCAUAAAUCACAUAGGAUCACUCCUAAUCUAUCAAGGUCGAUAGAUCCCAUCUAGAUGCAACCCUAUUUCAAAAUGAACCUACUGUAGCCAAUCCACACUACAAGGACCCGAAUGGCUAGGGGCCAAGUUCACAUGCUCGUCAAACUACAGCAACCUCAUAGUGAAUAGCUGAGGCAUCGCAGGUCAAAGGACCAGUCAUACAACUGCAGUAUAAGUAGUCACUGACGAGUGGAUAGACAUCCAUAUGACUACUAUCUUUGGUCACGCUCAGUAUCUUAUUCUCUAACAAGUACUCGCAUAAUCACUCCAGUGUCUCUACACUGUGGACUCGAGAUUCGUCCAUCUGACUAAGU
rnacentral:lncRNA from 1 species